rnacentral:rRNA from 1 species
CAGCAGCCGCGGGAAUACAGAGGGUGCAAGCGUUAAUCGGAAUUACUGGGCGUAAAGCGCGCGUAGGUGGUUUGUUAAGUUGGAUGUGAAAUCCCCGGGCGCAACCUGGGAACUGCAUCCAAAACUGGCAAGCUAGAGUAUGGUAGAGGGUGGUGGAAUUUCCUGUGUAGCGGUGAAAUGCGUAGAUAUAGGAAGGAACACCAGUGGCGAAGGCGACCACCUGGACUGAUACUGACACUGAGGUGCGAAAGCGUGGGGAGCAAACAGGAUUAGAUACCCCCGUAGUCCCUGUCUCUUAUAC